GACGUAGGGUGCGAGCGUUGUCCGGAUUUAUUGGGCGUAAAGAGCUCGUAGGCGGCUCGUCGCGUCGACCGUGAAAACCCGCAGCUUAACUGCGGGCUUGCGGUUGAUACGGGCGGGCUAGAGUUCGGUAGGGGAGACUGGAAUUCCUGGUGUAGCGGUGAAAUGCGUAGAUAUCUGGAGGAACACCGGUGGCGAAGGCGGCAUCCUGGACCAAUACUGACGCUGAGGAGCGAAAGCUAGGGGAGCAAACGGG
rnacentral:rRNA from 1 species